AGUGAACGCUGGCGGUAGGCCUAACACAUGCAAGUCGAACGGCAGCACAGUAAGAGCUUGCUCUUACGGGUGGCGAGUGGCGGACGGGUGAGGAAUACAUCGGAAUCUACUUUUUCGUGGGGGAUAACGUAGGGAAACUUACGCUAAUACCGCAUACGACCUACGGGUGAAAGCAGGGGAUCUUCGGACCUUGCGCGAUUGAAUGAGCCGAUGUCGGAUUAGCUAGUUGGCGGGGCAAAGGCCCACCAAGGCGACGAUCCGUAGCUGGUCUGAGAGGAUGAUCAGCCACCCGGGAAAUGAGGCACGGUCCAGCCUCCUACGGGAGGCAGGAGUGGGGAAUUUUGGAAAAGGGGCGCAAGCCUGAUCCAGCCAUACCGGGGGGGUGAAGAAGGCCUUCGGGUUGUAAAGCCCUUUUGUUGGGAAAAAAAAGCAGCAGGUUAAUACCCCGCUGUUCUGGCGGUACCCAAAGAAUAAGCACCGGCUAAUUUCGU
rnacentral:rRNA from 1 species